UUGUAUCCCUGCUUGACCCUAUGGUGUACUACUUUGUGAGACGGAUGGUCACCAUCGGCAAUCUGCUGUCCCACCGUUUCUACUGUACGCUGAAUAAAAUGUAAACCACUGACGAUGGUAUCCAGGUCGAUAUGCGGCUUCUCAAGCACAAAGCGAGCCGUGCCACCCCAUCUCCUGUAUCUCUCCUUGACAACGUCCAACGUUAGCAUCUUUCGUGCCUCAAGCAAUUCCUCCUCGCCCUU
rnacentral:lncRNA from 1 species